rnacentral:rRNA from 1 species
GACGAACGCUGGCGGCGUGCUUAACACAUGCAAGUCGAACGGUGAAGCGCCUUCCUUUUUGGUGGGUGUGGAUGAGUGGCGAACGGGUGAGUAACACGUGAGUAACCUGCCCCCUUCUUCUGGAUAACCGCAUGAAAGUGUGGCUAAUACGGGAUAUUCUGGGUCUGUCGCAUGAUGGGUCUGGGAAAGAUAUUGUUUCGGUGGGGGAUGGGCUCGCGGCCUAUCAGCUUGUUGGUGGGGUGAUGGCCUACCAAGGCGGUGACGGGUAGCCGGCCUGGGAGGGUGGACGGUCACACUGGGACUGAGGCACGGCCGAGACUCCUACGGGAGGCAGCAGUGGGGAAUAUUGCACAAUGGGCGCAAGCCUGACGCGGCGACGCCGCGUGAGGGAUGGAGGCCUUCGGGUUGUGAACCUCUUUCGCCAGUGAAGCAGGCCUGCCUCGUUUGUGGGUGGGUUGACGGUAGCUGGAUAAGAAGCGCCGGCUAACUACGUG